AACGUACGCUGGCGGCACGCCUAACACAUGCAAGUCGAACGAAGUAGCAAUACUUAGUGGCAGACGGGUGAGUAACAUGUGGGUAUCUACCCUUUGGCCUGGAAUAACACGAGGAAACUUGUGCUAAUACCGGAUAAGUCUUUACGGAGAAAGCUUUAUGCACCAUUGGAUGAGCCCGCACUUGAUUAGUUUGUUGGUAGGGUAAUGGCCUACCAAGACUAUGAUCAAUAGCUGAUUUGAGAGGAUGAUCAGCCACAUUGGGACUGAGACACGGCCCAAACUCCUACGGGAGGCAGCAGUGGGGAAUCUUGCACAAUGGAGGAAACUCUGAUGCAGCGAUGCCGCGUGAGUGAAGAAGGCCCUUGGGUUGUAAAGCUCUUUCGUCGGGGAAGAAAAUGACUGUACCCGAAUAAGAAGGUCCGGCUAACUUCGUGCCAGCAGCCGCGGUAAUACGAAGGGACCUAGCGUAGUUCGGAAUUACUGGGCUUAAAGAGUUCGUAGGUGGUUAAAAAAGUUGGUGGUGAAAUCCCAGAGCUUAACUCUGGAACUGCCAUCAAAACUUUUUAGCUAGAGUAUGAUAGAGGAAAGCAGAAUUUCUAGUGUAGAGGUGAAAUUCGUAGAUAUUAGAAAGAAUACCAAUU
rnacentral:rRNA from 1 species